rnacentral:rRNA from 1 species
GAUGAACGCUGGCGGCGUGCCUAAUACAUGCAAGUCGAGCGAACGGACGAGAAGCUUGCUUCUCUGAUGUUAGCGGCGGACGGGUGAGUAACACGUGGAUAACCUACCUAUAAGACUGGGAUAACUUCGGGAAACCGGCGCUAAUACCGGAUAAUAUUUUGAACCGCAUGGUUCAAAAGUGAAAGACGGUCUUGCUGUCACUUAUAGAUGGAUCCGCGCUGCAUUAGCUAGUUGGUAAGGUAACGGCUUACCAAGGCAACGAUGCAUAGCCGACCUGAGAGGGUGAUCGGCCACACUGGAACGGAGACACGGUCCAGACUCCUACGGGAGGCAGCAGUAGGGAAUCUUCCGCAAUGGGCGAAAGCCUGACGGAGCAACGCCGCGUGAGUGAUGAAGGUCUUCGGAUCGUAAAACUCUGUUAUUAGGGAAGAACAUAUGUGUAAGUAACUGUGCACAUCUUGACGGUACCUAAUCAGAAAGCCACGGCUAACUACGUG